GUUGGGGGUACUGGAGGACCAGGGUUGGUGUACUGUUGGGUUACUGAAGGACCAGGGUUGGUGUACUGUUGGGUUACUGAAGGACCAGGGUUGGUGUACUGUUGGGGUACUGAAGGACCAGGGUUGGGGUACUGUUGGGGUACUGAAGGACCAGUUGGGUACUGUUGGGGUACUGAAGGACCAGGGUUGGGGGUACUGGACGGACCAGGUUGGGGUACUGACGGACCAGGGUUGGGUACUGUUGGGGUACUGAAGGACCAGGGUUGGGGUACUGAGCAACAGGGUUGAGGUUCUGGAAGGACCAGGUUGGGUACUGAAGCACCAGGGUUGGGGUUACUGAAGACCAGGGUGUGGGGUACUGAAGCCCAGGGUUGGGGUACUGUUGGGGUACUGAAGGACCAUGGUUGGUGGUACUGAAGGACUAGGGUUGGGGUACUGGAGGAGCCAUGCUUAGGAAACUUGCUCUAAGGAAGCACAUGCUAGAAAAGUUUGAUCUUGUUAGUGUUAAGCAGUGAGGUUGAUUCCUUUUGUUAGUGUUGUAAAACAGUGAAGGUUGAUUCCUUUUGUUAGUGUUGUAAAGCAGUGAAGGUUGAUUCCUUUUGUUAGUGUUGUAAAACAGUGAAGGUUGAUUCCUUUUGUUAGUGUUGUAAAACAGUGAAGGUUGAUUCCUUUUGUUAGUGUUGUAAAGCAGUGAAGGUUGAUUCCUUUUGUUAGUGUUGUAAANUGUAAAGCAGUGAAGGUUGAUUCCUUUUGUUAGUGUUGUAAAGCAGUGAAGGUUGAUUCCUUUUGUUAGUGUUGUAAAGCAGUGAAGGUUGAUUCAUUUUGUUAGUGUUGUAAAGCAGUGAAGGUUGAUUCAUUUUGUUAGUGUUGUAAAGCAGUGAAGGUUGAUUCCUUUUGUUAGUGUUGUAAAACAGUGAAGGUUGAUUCAUUUUGUUAGUGUUGUAAAGCAGUGAAGGUUAUUUUAGUAGCUUUGUAAUACAGUGAAUGCUGAAUUAUUUUAAAUGCAUUGCAUUGUAAUGCAAUGGUUGAUUUAUUUGUAAUGCAUUGUAAAACAGUGAACCUGAUUUAUUUUAGUCUGAGCAUUAGAGUAUAGUGCUGUAAAGUGGAAAGAAACAGCUUUACAUUUUUUAGUUAUGUUUUUAUUGUUAAAGUGUGUGUGUGUGUGUGUGUGUGUGUGUGUGCACGCAUGUUUUCUUAAGGUUUUUUGUACUUUAGUUUGGCGUUGGAGGUGUAAUGUUUAGCCAAACCCUAACCUCUUCCAGUUUGUCCCAGGGUCUUAC
rnacentral:lncRNA from 1 species